CAUGAGAGUUGUCUGUACCCGAAAUCAUCUUAGCUAACCUUACAGGAGGCGGGGUGAUGAAAGGUAUGGAUGAUGAUUGGGCUG
rnacentral:rRNA from 1 species